CUUGUUUGAAAGAAUGGUUGGACUGAUGAAGAAUUCGCUUUACAAAGUUGUUGGUUCAGCUAAACUCACUUACAAAGAGUUGCAAGAUGUAUUAUUGGACAUACAAAUAGUACUGAAUAACCGCCCUUUAACGUAUUGUGAAGAUGACGUGCAACUUCCGGUUCUCACACCAAACCUCCUGAUAUUGGGAAAAGCAAAUUAUCUAUUAGAGUUGCCUGUCGAAGAAAUUGAAGAAGACGAUCUACGAAGGAGAGCAAAACAUUUAAAGAAGUGUAAAGAUGCGUUAUGGCGUCGUUGGCGAAAUGAAUACAUGAGAGCACUUCGAGAGAGACACGAUUUACGACACCACGGGAAAAGCGCACGAUUGCAAGAAGGCGAUGUAGUUCUUAUCAAGGGCGAUGAAAAGAACCGAGGCAAGUGGAAGAUUGGAAUCGUGGACAAACUAAUACCUGGAAGAGAUGAAAUCGUGAGAGCGGUGAGACUGCGUGCAGGAAAGAGUUACCUCGAAAGACCUAUUCAGUUUCUAUAUCCAAU